rnacentral:rRNA from 1 species
CACAGCCACGGUAAUACGGAGGGUGCAAGCGUUAAUCGGAAUUACUGGGCGUAAAGCGCACGCAGGCGGUCUGACAAGUCAGAUGUGAAAUCCCCGGGCUUAACCUGGGAACUGCAUUUGAAACUGUCAGGCUGGAGUCUUGUAGAGGGGGGUGGAAUUCCAGGUGUAGCGGUGAAAUGCGUAGAGAUCUGGAGGAAUACCGGUGGCGAAGGCGGCCCCCUGGACAAAGACUGACGCUCAGGUGCGAAAGCGUGGGGAGCAAACAGGAUUAGAUACCCCGGUAGUCCCUGUCUCUUAUACA